UAAUAUAUUUAAACACUUAUGUAAGCUAAUUAAAUUAUCAGUCAGGAAGCCGCGCAUUCGCAACAGGUCAGCUCACAGCGUGAAUAUCGGAAAAGAUGUCCAGGAAGAAAGUCUUGUGACUGAAGGGUAACCUAAGCAUCGCUUUUUGUUUUCAAUUAUUUCAUUAUUUUGCAAGAAAAUUGGAGUAUAGGACUCCUCCAUUCACUUCUAUGACUGAUGACUGGAACAAUUACCAUGAAACUUCAACAAGUCUCGUUUGAUUUAAAAACUUUGUAUUAUGAAUAACCAACUAGAAAGACUAAUGAGAUACAAAUAUAUUGAACACUUACAUAAGCUAACAAAAACAUCUAACUGCGUUUAAUUGGUGUAUUGAUCUAUUAAUUCUCAAGGGUUGGUGAUAGCUGACGUCUCAACUUUUAACAGAUGAAAAAAGGGCGAAAGUAAACAAAAUUAAAUGACGGAGAAUGCAGCGUCAUUAUUUGUGCUCAAUAUCAUAUUGACAAAGCUGUUUUCUGUGUUUUAUUUAACGAUUUCGGUCGAAACACUAUCAGUUUCAAGUGAGAGAGAGAGAGGAUGGAACGGUCCAUCAAAAGACUAGAGACUGCUCGACAAAACGCGAAGGUGGAGGAUUCGCGAAGGUUGCAGUACAUUCAAAGGACGGUGAACAAAUCACAUUGAAAUGUAAUAAAAACGACAGCUUUCAUGUUUUGCUUGUUGGUGGAGUCCAACUCAACGAACUUAUCGCUCAUCAUGGUCCGUUCGUGAUGAACACGUGGGAGGAGAUAGAUCAAGCCAUUCGUGAUUACCACAUUGAGAAACUGGGAAAGAUCGAUGGUGCUGAAGAAAGAUAUGCUAAAACCGAGAAGACUGUUCGUCAGCAGAAAAAUACGGGCAAUUGGCACAAGUAAUUUUAAUUUCAUAAUUGCAGCUUCUUAAAUGUAAAUACUACUAAUUCUAUGGCACUUCAUAUAUGUUAACUUACUCGUGAAAAGGAUUUUCUGUAGUCGCCAUGUUCUUACGCCAAUGCCAUAAAGAAACAGACUUUCAAAAUUACGUGGAUUUUAUUUUCUAACUAUACUUAAAAACGUACGCCAUAUUGACCUGUUUCAUCGUAAUAUGGUUAUCUGAAGACAAAAACAACAAGAAAUCCAUUUACUUUGCAUGUAUCAUAAAUGUCUAGGUUAAUUAGUUUCAUCCAAAGUUUUCUAUAACGAGCAAAGCAGUUUGGUUUUAUGUGAAAGCUGACAUGCGAAUUCCGUGGAAAGACACUUGUAAUAUUGACACUGACGAGGGCAACUUAAGAAGAUGCAAAUCUAAUGUCUUUGAAAUAAAGACGAAAUAUCGCUUA